AACUCAUGGGAAGAAGAAGUGUGUUAUAGUCAUCACUCUCAUCUCGUACAGAGUUUUAGACUUCAUAUCCUAAAUAAACUGAGCCAUAGAGACCCACAGAUGCUGUUUUAAUCAUGUUACACACAAUCUGCAGCACAUUUGUUAGUUAGAGAGAUAAUCCCUUGGGUCUUGUUACACCCACACCUAUGUCUUUUUUUCUUUGUAGCAGAUGUCUGUACAACAUCACCUCUCGUGUGGCUACUCUUCCCUGCUCCUCCCUACCUCAUUUCCUUGUUUCCCUUUCAGACAGGAAAUAGAUUUUACUUUUGCUUCCUGUAAGCUGCGUGAGAUCUUUCCAAAAUGGGUUAGAAACUAGAUUUGUGACCGGAGAAGGAUGCAGGUUUCUUAUCCCACUACAUCACCUCUACCUAAUUAUCAGACCAGUGAUGUCACUGUCCCGCCCUGUCAACCAACCACAGGCCAGUUGCCAUGGAUACUCCUGGGUGGGCAGCAACUGCUUUCCACAUCAUACAGAAGGAGGAAGAGCAGACAUCUGGUUUUAUGUGUGCUGGAUGUGUAUGCUUUUUUGUGCAUGUGAGUGUGUGUCUAUAUGCAAACACACUGUGUGGGAUAUAAAGAUGGACAAAACAAGAGAUGAAGUGUAACCGCACUAUGUGUUUCUGCAGGAUACUGUGUGCUGUACGGGAUAUGUAGAAAAGUUGAUUUCUAGGUACACUUCUUCUGAGUUUUUCUUUUUUUACAAUUGCACCACAAGUUACUGCUUAUUGUAGAUCUGCUCAAGGUUUCUACCAGUUUAUCAAAAGGAAUAUUUUCUUUCUACGGUUGCCAAAUGAUGCCAAGUGUUUGCUCAUGGUGGAUUAAUGUUGGGUCUCUUAAACUUACAGUACGGUCUAGGCCUGCUCUAUGUUGGGUCUCUGUAGUAUACAUUAUAGAUCUAUAUGAUCCAGACCUACUCUUUUUUGUAAAGUGUCUUGAUAUAACAUAUAAGAACUGACGCGAUACAAAUAUUGAUGUAUUAAUUGAUUGAUUGACCACCAACGCUAAGCCACUCCCUUAUUUGCCCAACUCUCAAACAUAGUACAUCAGUGAAGCUAAUUACAUAUUUAAUAUACAAACAGAUCAACUUUUUGCAAGAAAGCAAGAAGAAUUAAAGUCAAAGUCCUUACCAAAAUCACUUUUUUUUCCCCCAACACAUUUGAGCUUACUUAAGGGCCUUUCAGAUAGGAUGCGGCGAGCUCAGCGCGCACCACGUCCUGAACGGCCCUUUAGACAGAACUUAAUAUUUUAAAGCAGCAGAAGUCAAAGCCACUGAUAAAAGCUGCAUCCUGUUUCUGUAUUCUGUCACUCCUUCUUAUGCACACUGACCCCUUAUAUCUGGAAUAGACUCAGAUGCUGUUACCUGCUUCCUCGUGUUUCUGACCUGACCUGAGGGUUAAACUGUACAGAGGCCAGAGAGGCAAGUUGGAGAAAACAAAAAAACAGAUGUUCUUUUUUUUCCAAGUAUGAUCUCGCUUGCCGUAAGUUUUGUGCCUAAAGUGUUUGUUGUUGUAAUACCUAUUUUGCCCACCAGAGGCUUAAGAGUACAACAACAGAUUUUUUUUUUAAACACGGCCAAAGUCAUUCAUGUUCUUCCAGGUCAGUUCUUAAAUGUCUUUGCAUGUUUUAACCUACCAUAUAUUGUGUCUGAAAGUUAUUUCACAUUACUGUCAUGUCAGGGACACUAAACAAGGGUUUCGCCUGUUUUCAAGGGUAAAAGAAAUUGACUCAAUUUACAUUUU